GGACUACCGGGGUUUCUAAUCCCAUUCGCUACCCACGCUUUCGUGUUUCAGUGUCAGGAGUGCGCCAGCCGACUGCCUUCGCAUUUGGUAUUCCCCAUGAUAUCAACGGAUUUUACCCCUACACCAUGAGUUCUAUCGGCCUCUCGCAUCCUCUAGUCUCGCCGUUUCAAAUGCCCUUUUCCCGUUAAGCGGGAAGUUUUAACAUCUGACUAACAAGACAACCUACACACCCUUUACGCCCAAUAAUUCCGGAUAACGCUUGGAGCACUCGUAUUACCGCGGCUGCUGGCAC
rnacentral:rRNA from 1 species